AAGUUGGCUGAAGAGAAGUGGGCUGAAGAAAAUAAUAGGAAGAAUUCAUAGAGGCGGAUUCUAGGUGGCCGAGUGUU